rnacentral:misc_RNA from 1 species
GAAAUGCGAUAAGUAGUGUGAAUUGCAGAAUUCAGUGAAUCAUCGAAUCUUUGAACGCACAUUGUGCCCCUUGGUAUUCCAUGGGGCAUGCCUGUUCGAGCGUCAUCUACACCCUCAAGCUCUGCUUGGUGUUGGGCGUCUUUGUCCCGCCUCCGCGCGCGGACUCGCCCCAAAUUCAUUGGCAGCGGUCCUUGCCUCCUCUCGCGCAGCACGUUGCGCUUCUCGAGGUGUUGCGGCCCGCGUCCAGAAAGCAAUCGUUACCGUCUUUGACCUCGGAUCAGGUAGGGAUACCCGCUGAACUUAAGC